rnacentral:rRNA from 1 species
UACGGAGGAUCCAAGCGUUAUCCGGAUUUAUUGGGUUUAAAGGGUGCGUAGGCGGCUUUUUAAGUCAGGGGUGAAAGACGGUGGCUCAACCAUCGCAGUGCCUUUGAUACUGAAGAGCUUGAUUAAACUUGAGGUAGGCGGAAUGUGACAAGUAGCGGUGAAAUGCAUAGAUAUGUCACAGAACACCGAUUGCGAAGGCAGCUUACUGGACACAUAUUGACGCUGAGGUGCGAAAGCGUGGGGAGCAAACAGG